rnacentral:tRNA from 1 species
AAUGAAGUGCCUGAAAAAGGAUUAUCUUGAUAGGAUAAAUAAUGUAGAUAUUUAGCUUUACMUUCAUUA